rnacentral:rRNA from 1 species
GACGAACGCUGGCGGCGUGCUUAACACAUGCAAGUCGAACGGAAAGGCCCUGCUUUUGUGGGGUGCUCGAGUGGCGAACGGGUGAGUAACACGUGAGUAACCUGCCCUUGACUUUGGGAUAACUUCAGGAAACUUGGGCUAAUACCGGAUAGGAUCUCCUGCUGCAUGGUGUGGGUUGGAAAGUUUCGGCGUUUGGGGAUGUACUCGCGGCUUAUCAGCUUGUUGGUGGGGUAGUUGCUUACCAAGGCUUUGACGGGUAGCCUGCCUGAGAGGGUGACCGGCGACAUUGGGACUGAGAUACGGCCCAGACUCCAACGGGAGGCAGCAGUGGGGAAUAUUGCACAAUGGGCGGAAGCCUGAUGCAGCAACGCCGCGUGCGGGAUGACGGCCUUCGGGUUGUAAACCGCUUUCGCCUGUGACGAAGCGUGAGUGACGGUAAUGGGUAAAGAAGCACCGGCUAACUACGUG